rnacentral:rRNA from 1 species
CUAAAAAAAUUUUUGAGUGAAAUUAAAACUUUCUUUUUUUAUGUCGAUUGCUUGUGAUUUUUCUUUAAGAACUAGGAUUAGAUACCCUAUUACUAAAAGGUUAGUAUAAAGUAGUAAUGAAUAAAUCUAAAACUUAAUUUUUCUGGCGGUUCACUAUUCUUUUAGAGGAGCUUGUUUAGGUAAAUUGAUAACCCGCCUUUAUUUUCUCUACCCUUUACUUUAUGUACGGCUGUGAAGCUAUAAUUUUCAGGUUAUUGCUAUAAUCUUUGUAAGACGCAAUUCAGGUCAAUGUGUAGGUGAUAGGGUAGUCUUAAUUGAGCUACUUUUAUUUUUUCAAGGAUUAUAAACUUUUACUUAUGCUUUAAAUUGGAUUUAAUAGUAAAAUAGAAAUUAAACUUUUAUUUGGUUAAGAUCUGGGUGAAAGUACAUAUCGCCCGUCGCUCUUUUGAUAGAUAAGUCGUAACAAAGUAGGAGUACUGGAAGGUGCUUCUUGUUU